UACGUAGGUGGCAAGCGUUGUUCGGAAUUAUUGGGCGUAAAGGGCGCGUAGGCGGUUUGUUAAGUCGGCUGUGAAAGCCCGGGGCUCAACCCCGGAGGGUCAGCCGAUACUGGCAGGCUAGAGUACAGAAGAGGUAACUGGAAUUCCCGGUGUAGCGGUGAAAUGCGUAGAUAUCGGGAAGAACAUCGGUGGCGAAGGCGCUCUACUGGACCACAACUGACACUCAGGGACGAAAGCUAGGGGAGCGAAUGGG
rnacentral:rRNA from 1 species